rnacentral:rRNA from 1 species
AAGUCCCUGUCCCGCAAGGGGACGUUGAGGCCACGGCCAAGAUGGAUCCAUUAAAGCGACAGCCGAGAAAAUCUCCGGCGUAUACUAAGGUGCCCGUACCGUAAACCGACACAGGUGGGUGGGUAGAAUAUACCAAGGCGCGUGAGUGAAACCUCGUUAAGGAACUCGGCAAUCUAGCCCCGUAACUUCGGAAGAAGGGGUGCCCGUCGCAAGACGGGUCGCAGUGAAAUGGGUCAACCGACUGUUUAACAAAAACACAGCACUCUGCAAAGUCGUGAAGACGACGUAUAGGGUGUGACACGUGACCAAUGCGGAAAGGUGAAAUUUUGGGGUCCGGCGCAAGCCAAAGCUCUGAAAUCAAGCCCCCGUGAAUGUCGGCCGUAACUAUAACGGUCCUAAGGUAGCGAAAUUCCUUGUCGGGUAAGUUCCGACCUGCACGAAUCGUGUAACGAGUUGACCGCUGUCUCAACGAGGAGCUCAGCGAAGUUGUAAUGGCGGUGAAGAUGCCGCCUACCCGCAGCAGGACGGAAAGACCCUAUGCACCUUAACUAUACGCUGCUAUUGUUUCUUCGAUUUGGAUGCUUAGCGUAAGUGGAAGACUUUGAAGCCCAUCUUUCGGGAUGGGCCGAGUCGCCAAUGAAACACCACCCUUCUAAAUUGGAGAAUCUAACCUCUCGCCAUUAUCUGGCAGAGGGACACUGGCAGCCGGUUAGUUUUACUGGGGCGGUAUCCUCCCAAAGAGUAACGGAGGAGUGCGAAGUUUGGCUCAACCUGGUUGGUAAUCAGGUGACGAGUAUAUGCAUAUAAGCCAGACUGACUGUGAGACACACAUGUCGAGCAGAGACGAAAGUCGGCGCAAGUGAUCCGGUGGUUGAAAGUGGAAUCGCCAUCGCGCAACGGACAAAAGGUACGCUAGGGAUAACAGGCUGAUCAGAUCCAAGAGCUCAUAUCGACGAUCUGGUUUGGCACCUCGAUGUCGGCUCAUCGCAUCCUGGGGCUGGAGAAGGUCCCAAGGGUCCGGCUGUUCGCCGGUUAAAGCGGUACGCGAGCUGGGUUCAGAACGUCGCGAGACAGUUCGGUCCUUAUCCGCUGUGGGCGUAGGAGAAUUGAGGGGUUCACACCUUAGUACGAGAGGACCGGGUGUGACGGACCUCCGGUGUUCCAGUUGUCUCGUCAGAGGCAUUGCUGGGUAGCUAUGUCCGGAAAGGAUAAGCGCUGAAAGCAUCUAAGCGCCAAGCCUAUCCCAAGAUUAAUUCUCCCUGAAGGGUCGUGGAAGACCACCACGUUGAUAGGCCACGGGUGUAAUCGCAGCAAUGCGUUCAGCUCAGUGGUACUAAUUACCCGUUCGGCUUGAUCUC